rnacentral:rRNA from 1 species
UUGACCUCGGAUCAGGUAGGAAUACCCGCUGAACUUAAGCAUAUCAAUGGGGCGGAGGAA